UUAAAUUGAAGAGUUUGAUCAUGGCUCAGAUUGAACGCUGGCGGCAGGCCUAACACAUGCAAGUCGAACGGUAACAGGAAACAGCUUGCUGUUUCGCUGACGAGUGGCGGACGGGUGAGUAAUGUCUGGGAAACUGCCUGAUGGAGGGGGAUAACUACUGGAAACGGUAGCUAAUACCGCAUAACGUCGCAAGACCAAAGAGGGGGACCUUCAGGCCUCUUGCCAUCGGAUGUGCCCAGAUGGGAUUAGCUUGUUGGUGGGGUAACGGCUCACCAAGGCGACGAUCCCUAGCUGGUCUGAGAGGAUGACCAGCCACACUGGAACUGAGACACGGUCCAGACUCCUACGGGAGGCAGCAGUGGGGAAUAUUGCACAAUGGGCGCAAGCCUGAUGCAGCCAUGCCGCGUGUAUGAAGAAGGCCUUCGGGUUGUAAAGUACUUUCAGCGGGGAGGAAGGGAGUAAAGUUAAUACCUUUGCUCAUUGACGUUACCCGCAGAAGAAGCACCGGCUAACUCCGUGCCAGCAGCCGCGGUAAUACGGAGGGUGCAAGCGUUAAUCGGAAUUACUGGGCGUAAAGCGCACGCAGGCGGUUUGUUAAGUCAGAUGUGAAAUCCCCGGGCUCAACCUGGGAACUGCAUCUGAUACUGGCAAGCUUGAGUCUCGUAGAGGGGGGUAGAAUUCCAGGUGUAGCGGUGAAAUGCGUAGAGAUCUGGAGGAAUACCGGUGGCGAAGGCGGCCCCCUGGACGAAGACUGACGCUCAGGUGCGAAAGCGUGGGGAGCAAACAGGAUUAGAUACCCUGGUAGUCCACGCCGUAAACGAUGUCGACUUGGAGGUUGUGCCCUUGAGGCGUGGCUUCCGGAGCUAACGCGUUAAGUCGACCGCCUGGGGAGUACGGCCGCAAGGUUAAAACUCAAAUGAAUUGACGGGGGCCCGCACAAGCGGUGGAGCAUGUGGUUUAAUUCGAUGCAACGCGAAGAACCUUACCUGGUCUUGACAUCCACGGAAGUUUUCAGAGAUGAGAAUGUGCCUUCGGGAACCGUGAGACAGGUGCUGCAUGGCUGUCGUCAGCUCGUGUUGUGAAAUGUUGGGUUAAGUCCCGCAACGAGCGCAACCCUUAUCCUUUGUUGCCAGCGGUCCGGCCGGGAACUCAAAGGAGACUGCCAGUGAUAAACUGGAGGAAGGUGGGGAUGACGUCAAGUCAUCAUGGCCCUUACGACCAGGGCUACACACGUGCUACAAUGGCGCAUACAAAGAGAAGCGACCUCGCGAGAGCAAGCGGACCUCAUAAAGUGCGUCGUAGUCCGGAUUGGAGUCUGCAACUCGACUCCAUGAAGUCGGAAUCGCUAGUAAUCGUGGAUCAGAAUGCCACGGUGAAUACGUUCCCGGGCCUUGUACACACCGCCCGUCACACCAUGGGAGUGGGUUGCAAAAGAAGUAGGUAGCUUAACCUUCGGGAGGGCGCUUACCACUUUGUGAUUCAUGACUGGGGUGAAGUCGUAACAAGGUAACCGUAGGGGAACCUGCGGUUGGAUCACCUCCUUACCUUAAAGAAGC
rnacentral:rRNA from 1 species